UGCUUACAACAUAGCAUUAAUGCACCAGAUCCCAUUAGAACUCCAUAGUUAAGCGCACUCGGGCUAGAGUAGAACUGAGAUGGGUGAUCGCCCGAGAAGUCCUAGUGUUUUAAAUGC
rnacentral:rRNA from 1 species